AACAAAAGAUUUCUUUCCAGAAUGCAGGCCCUUGUGAAAACAGUGGAAACAGGUAAACGCUACUUUCCUAACUGUUCGGAAGCACUGGAUAAGUUUGUGACAGAUGAGCUUCCCGAUUUAUUAUACCUCGAGAAGGGCACUGCCGAGGAGCAGCGGAUUAAGAGGAAGCGUUUUAAGGAGCUUAAAAACGAUGUUCAGAAGGCAUUUGAUAAAG
rnacentral:misc_RNA from 1 species